UACGAAGGGGGCUAGCGUUGCUCGGAAUCACUGGGCGUAAAGGGUGCGUAGGCGGGUCAGUGGGUCCGGGGUGAAAUCUUUCGGCUUAACCGGAAAAGUGCCUUGGAUACCGCUGGUCUAGAGGGAGGUAGGGGCAUGUGGAACUUCUGGUGGAGCGGUGAAAUGCGUUGAUAUCAGAAGGAACGCCGGUGGCGAAAGCGACGUGCUGGAUCUCUUCUGACGCUGAGGCGCGAAAGCCAGGGGGAGCAAACGGG
rnacentral:rRNA from 1 species